GUUCUGGGUUUGAUGACCGAAGAAAAACGACGUCGUGCAGAGGCGUAAAAACGAGGUGAGGGUUGUAGCUUCAUUUUGGGCCUUGGCCGUUUUGCAAAUCUGCUGUGUGGCAGCCGACUUUCCAAGUACCAACGCUUUUUUCAGAGCGACGAAAGGUUCUUUCAUUAUGGAGAUCAAGGCAGAUAUAAAAGACAACUCUCUCAUUCUGCUGAAGCAAGGGGCUGAAGCUAGAGUUUUUGAGUCGACUUUUGUGGGAAGGAGGUCUAUUGUCAAGGAACGCUUCUCAAAGAAGUAUAGGCAUCCAACUUUGGAUUCUAAACUUACUCUUAAGCGCUUAAAUGCGGAGGCCAGGUGCAUGACAAAAGCGAGACGACUUGGAGUUACUACUCCCGUGCUGUAUUCUGUGGAUCCGGUGCUGCAUACUCUAACAUUUGAAUUUGUGGAGGGUCCUUCUGUGAAAGAUGUAUUCCUUGAAUUUGGGUCACAUGGUGUUGUUGAAGAGCGAUUGGAUGAUAUUGCUUUACAAGUUGGUGAUGCAAUUGGAAAAUUACAUGAUGGUGGUCUCAUCCAUGGAGACUUGACCACAUCGAACAUGUUACUCAGGAGUGGUACCAAUCAGCUUGUCCUAAUUGACUUUGGUCUGAGCUUCACUUCAACCCUUCCGGAAGAUAAAGCUGUUGAUUUAUAUGUACUUGAACGAGCACUGAUUUCCAUGCAUUCUUCAUGUGGAAAUGUGAUGGAUAGGAUACUUGCUUCAUAUCGGAAGUCCUCAAAGCAGUGGUCGUCCACGUUGAACAAGCUUGCUCAAGUGCGACAAAGAGGACGAAAGCGGACCAUGGUUGGAUGAGCCAUUUUUAAAUAUUUACUCUCCAUUAAGCUAAGCUAUUGUGAGAGGUUUCCUACUCGCCCAAACAUGUCUUUCCCGUCCGGGCAGCUACUUAAAUUAUACGUUGAAACAAACUCGCCUAAACAGAAGUUCAUUUUCCCACUUGGCGUCCUAUGUAUUUGCAGCAAUUAUUAUGCAAGACUAGUGGAAGCUCUGAUUGGGGAUUGGGAAUUGGGGAUUUCUUAGUGUAAGAAUGGACUACCAGCGUCGUGCUGGUGCCUCCAUCCCAUUGCAAUUCCCAAUUCUAGGCUGUCUGAAACUUGACAAUGAUUGCGACUUCCUCCAUUGAUGCUCAAAACAGAGUUGUUGCCUUUUGAUGAACCCAGUAAAAUGAGCCUCCAACUUAUUUACCACGGAUA